GAAGCGGUCGAGCAAUUGGGGGCGCAGCUCGCCCUCCUCCGGGUUCAUCGUCCCCACAAGCACGAACUGAGAGGGGUGGGUGAAGGAGAUUCCUUCUCGCUCUACCA
rnacentral:tRNA from 1 species